rnacentral:rRNA from 1 species
UACGUAGGGUGCAAGCGUUAAUCGGAAUUACUGGGCGUAAAGCGUGCGCAGGCGGUUUGUAAGUUUGUCGUGAAAGCCCCGGGCUCAACCUGGGAAUUGCGAUGAAGACUGCAAGGCUUGAAUCUGGCAGAGGGGGUAGAAUUCCGACGUGUAGCAGUGAAAUGCGUAGAGGAUGUGGAGGAACACCGAUGGCGAAGGCAGCCCCUGGGUCAAGAUUGACGCUCAUGCACGAAGCGUGGGGAGCAAACAGG